AGCGAACGCUAGCGGCAGGCUUAACACAUGCAAGUCGAGCGCCAGGUUUCGGCCUGGAGCGGCGAACGGGUGAGUAAAACGUAGGUCACGUACCCUAUGGUGGGGAAUACCCCGGGGAAACUCGGAUCAAUGCCCCAUAUGUCCGAAAGGAUGAAAGCGCUUCGGCGCGCCAGAGGAUCGGCCUGCGGCCCAUUAUUUAAUUCUAGUUGGUGAGGUAACGGCUCACCAAGGGUACGAUGGGUAGCUGGUCUGAGAGGACGAUCAGCCACACUGGAACUGAGACACGGUCCAGACUCCUACGGGAGGCAGCAGUGGGGAAUAUUGGACAAUGGGCGAAAGCCUGAUCCAGCCACGCCGCGUGAGUGAUGAAGGCCUUCGGGUUGUAAAGCUCUGUCGUGGGGGAAGAAGUUCUGACGGUACCCCACAAGAAAGCACCGGCUAACUCCGUGCCAGCCGCCGCGGUAAAAC
rnacentral:rRNA from 1 species